rnacentral:snRNA from 1 species
GUGCUGGCUUCAGCAGCAUAUAUUGCAAAGCUGGAACCGUGCCGAGAAGAUUAGCAUUGCCCAUGAGUGAAGAUAACAUACAAAUCAGAACGUUCCUCUCAUUAAAU